GUUUUCCUGCUUCCAGAAACCAUCUAGCAUCUUUUACUAUCAUUUGCGUGUUUGAUUAGAUCUCCGGUUCUCUCUCCCUCUCUCUCAUUUUAUAGUAUGUUCUCUUCUUAUUUUUUACUGUUAUGUUGUUCGUUUAGCUCGAUCCAGCCGACAAACUUCAGUUCGUGCUAGAUACAUGCUUCUUUGUGGAUUAGUUUGUUACUUUUUGUAAUUUUGCUUGAAGUUUUUUUCGUUUUCCUUGUGUGAGAUGUGAAAAGUUUGUUGGGUUACUCUUAAUUUACUUCAAUCUGCUCCGAAAGCCACAGAUUUUGCUCAAUGUAUUUUUUCCGAUUCCUGUUGUCUUUGACUAUAUUUAUUUUUUGGCUGUAGUUUGUACUAUAGUUCUAGCAUAUUUUUAGUUGAUUUUUGCUUAGUCUAGCUUGAUCUUGCUAAAAAAAUUCGAUUUUUGCUUAGUCUAGCUUGAUUUGCACCAGAAGUUUUAGUUCUUGCUUAAUAGAUUUGUUUUUUUUAUUGGAAACUGUUUAUUUGUGGUGGAUUAAUUUGGAAUUUUAUCUAUUUACUUACACUUUCUGAUAUAUUUUAUGGUUUAUUGCAGCUAUCGAAUCAAUUACUUCAUAAUAAUUGUGAUUAUUCUUGGUAAGACUGCUGAAGAUGGUGUUUCAUUCUCAUUUUAUAGAAGUUCGCACAUUUUGAGUGAACUAUAUGGUUCAAAAUUUAGAAGUAGUUUAAUAGCUUAUAAUGAAAUGGUUGGGUAUGGUAAAUAAAUAUUUCUUUCACCUAGGAAAUUAGUAACUACGAGUUUGAUUGUACUUUAAUAACCUAUUGGAGGAAUUAUGAUUUUUUUGAGCAUCUAUAUGGUUUUAUCAAGAUUUAUUCCCAUACAUUUCACAAUAUAUCUCCUUUUUCUUAUAGUUAAUCAUGCAUAUACGUGUAGAGCUAUGACGAUAAAGGACCUGUCAUAGAUGCUGUUGUAUGGCAUGAUGGAGAAGUUUGGAGGGCUGCUCUUGACACACACAGUUUUGAAGAUGAACCCGGAUGCGGGAAGCUUGCUAACUUUGUUCCUUUAACUAAUUUUAGGUAUUUAAGGCUUUUCUAGCAAUUCAAUUGACUGUCUUAAGUUAUUUAUAUUUGGGGCUCUUAGCUUGCAUCUUGGGGAAUGAGACAGAAUGCUUUUAGUUGGA
rnacentral:lncRNA from 1 species